GAUGAACGCUGGCGGCGUGCUUAACACAUGCAAGUCGAACGAUGAAGCCCAGCUUGCUGGGUGGAUUAGUGGCGAACGGGUGAGUAACACGUGAGUAACCUGCCCUUAACUCUGGGAUAAGCCUGGGAAACUGGGUCUAAUACCGGAUAGGAGCGCCUACCGCAUGGUGGGUGUUGGAAAGAUUUAUCGGUUUUGGAUGGACUCGCGGCCUAUCGGCUUGUUGGUGAGGUAAUGGCUCACCAAGGCGACGACGGGUAGCCGGCCUGAGAGGGUGACCGGCCACACUGGGACUGAGACACGGCCCAGACUCCUACGGGAGGCAGCAGUGGGGAAUAUUGCACAAUGGGCGAAAGCCUGAUGCAGCGACGCCGCGUGAGGGAUGACGGCCUUCGGGUUGUAAACCUCUUUCAGUAGGGAAGAAGCGAAAGUGACGGUACCUGCAGAAGAAGCACCGGCUAACUACGUG
rnacentral:rRNA from 1 species